rnacentral:tRNA from 1 species
AUUUAAGUAGUUUAAAUAAAACAUUACAGUUUCAUUGUAAAUAUAAUAUCAAUAUUCUUAAAUA